GGGCCUGUAGCUCAGUUGGCAGAGCAGUUGACUCUUAAUCAAUUGGCCGAAGGUUCGAGCCCUUCCAGGCCCACCA
rnacentral:tRNA from 1 species